AGGGUUUGAUCAUGGCUCAGGAUGAACGCUAGCGGCAGGCUUAACACAUGCAAGUCGAGGGGUAACAGGGAUUGCUUGCAAUCCGCUGACGACCGGCGCACGGGUGCGUAACGCGUAUGCAACCUACCUUCUACAGGGGAAUAGUCAAUAGAAAUGUUGAAUAAUACCCCAUACGAUCUUUGAAUAGCAUUAUUUAGAGAAGAAAGUUCCGGCGGUAGAAGAUGGGCAUGCGUCCUAUUAGUUAGUUGGAGAGGUAACGGCUCCCCAAGACAUCGAUAGGUAGGGGUCCUGAGAGGGAGACCCCCCACACUGGUACUGAGACACGGACCAGACUCCUACGGGAGGCAGCAGUGAGGAAUAUUGGACAAUGGAGGCAACUCUGAUCCAGCCAUGCCGCGUGCAGGAAGACUGCCCUAUGGGUUGUAAACUGCUUUUAUACAGGAAGAAAUGUACCUACGUGUAGGUAUUUGACGGUACUGUACGAAUAAGGAUCGGCUAACUCCGUGCCAGCCGCCGCGGUA
rnacentral:rRNA from 1 species